rnacentral:rRNA from 1 species
AGAGUUUGAUCUUGGCUCAGGACGAACGCCGGCGGCGUGCCUAAUACAUGCAAGUCGAACGAGAAUUUUUUACACCGAGUGCUUGCACUCAUCGUAAGAAAUUCGAGUGGCGGACGGGUGAGUAACACGUGGGUAACCUGCCCAAAAGAAGGGGAUAACAUUUGGAAACAAAUGCUAAUACCGUAUAACCAUGAUGACCGCAUGGUCAUUAUGUAAAAGGUGGUUUUGCUAUCGCUUUUGGAUGGACCCGCGGCGUAUUAACUAGUUGGUAGGGUAACGGCCUACCAAGGUGAUGAUACGUAGCCGAGUUGAGAGACUGAUCGGCCACAAUGGGACUGAGACACGGCCCAUACUCCUACGGGAGGCAGCAGUAGGGAAUCUUCCACAAUGGGCGCAAGCCUGAUGGAGCAACGCCGCGUGAAUGAAGAAGGUCUUCGGAUCGUAAAAUUCUGUUGUUAGAGAAGAAUAUGAGUAAUAGUAACUGAUUAUUCACUGACGGUAUCUAACCAGCAAGUCACGGCUAACUACGUGCCAGCAGCCGCGGUAAUACGUAGGUGGCAAGCGUUGUCCGGAUUUAUUGGGCGUAAAGGGAACGCAGGCGGUUUUUUAAGUCUGAUGUGAAAGCCUUCGGCUUAACCGGAGAUGUGCAUUGGAAACUGGAAGACUUGAGUGCAGAAGAGGAGAGUGGAACUCCAUGUGUAGCGGUGAAAUGCGUAGAUAUAUGGAAGAACACCAGUGGCGAAAGCGGCUCUCUGGUCUGUAACUGACGCUGAGGUUCGAAAGCAUGGGUAGCGAACAGGAUUAGAUACCCUGGUAGUCCAAGGCGAUUCGUUAACCUGCAGAUAGUCCCUUA